AUUGAACGCUGGCGGCAUGCCUUACACAUGCAAGUCGAACGGCAGCACGGGUGCUUGCCCCUGGUGGCGAGUGGCGAACGGGUGAGUAAUACAUCGGAACAUGUCCUGUAGCGGGGGAUAGCCCGGCGAAAGCCGGAUUAAUACCGCAUACGAUCCACGGAUGAAAGCGGGGGACCUUCGGGCCUCGCGCUAUAGGGUUGGCCGAUGGCUGAUUAGCUAGUUGGUGGGGUAAAGGCCUACCAAGGCGACGAUCAGUAGCUGGUCUGAGAGGACGACCAGCCACACUGGGACUGAGACACGGCCCAGACUCCUACGGGAGGCAGCAGUGGGGAAUUUUGGACAAUGGGCGAAAGCCUGAUCCAGCAAUGCCGCGUGUGUGAAGAAGGCCUUCGGGUUGUAAAGCACUUUUGUCCGGAAAGAAAUCCUUGACUCUAAUACAGUCGGGGGAUGACGGUACCGGAAGAAUAAGCACCGGCUAACUACGUG
rnacentral:rRNA from 1 species